UACGGGGGGGGGUAAGCGUUGUUCGGAAUUACUGGGCGUAAAGAGCUCGUAGGUGGUUUGUCGCGUUGUUCGUGAAAACUCACAGCUCAACUGUGGGCGUGCGGGCGAUACGGGCAGACUGGAGUACUGCAGGGGAGACUGGAAGUUCCUGGUGUAGCGGUGGAAUGCGCAGAUAUCAGGAGGAACACCGGUGGCGAAGGCGGGUCUCGUGGGCAGUGAACUGACGCUGGAGGAGCGAAAGCGUGGGGAGCGAACAGGA
rnacentral:rRNA from 1 species